AACACAUUAGAGUAUAAAAAUAAU
rnacentral:snRNA from 1 species